UGCGAUAGCUCAGUCGGUAGAGUGUGAGACUGUUGAUCUCAGGGUCAUGGGUUUGAGCCCCACAAUGGGCAAAA